rnacentral:ncRNA from 22 species
CACAUCCACCGCGAACUUCGUGCUCGGGAAGACGGAUUGGUGACCCUGGUCUGUUGGGGACCGCCAAGAUGGAAGCCGUCGCCGCCGCGCGACUGUAAGGCGGAUUAAGUGUAUGCGCAGGCCACUGCGGCCAGUCGCUCCAUCGCUGGGCGACGCCGCGGGAAGGUCCCGCAACGGCCCUGAUUCGAAAAGGCCGGAGCUACCGCCAAGCCAGGAGACCGGCGAAGUUCGCAGCCGUGCGA